rnacentral:snoRNA from 1 species
UUCCAAUGAUGAAUGAUGUAUUGUCCGUACCAUCUGAAAGGUUUAAACCUUGUAUGACUAGUACUUGCAUUCAGUUUCUGAGGUAU